rnacentral:rRNA from 1 species
AUUGAACGCUGGCGGCAGGCCUAACACAUGCAAGUCGAGCGGAUGAGUGGAGCUUGCUCCAUGAUUCAGCGGCGGACGGGUGUGUAAUGCCUAGGAAUCUGCCGGGUAGUGGGGGACAACGUCUCGAAAGGAACGCUAAUACCGCAUACGUCCUACGGGAGAAAGUGGGGGAUCUUCGGACCUCACGCUAUCAGAUGAGCCUAGGUCGGAUUAGCUAGUUGGUGAGGUAAAGGCUCACCAAGGCGACGAUCCGUAACUGGUCUGAGAGGAUGAUCAGUCACACUGGAACUGAGACACGGUCCAGACUCCUACGGGAGGCAGCAGUGGGGAAUAUUGGACAAUGGGCGAAAGCCUGAUCCAGCCAUGCCGCGUGUGUGAAGAAGGUCUUCGGAUUGUAAAGCACUUUAAGUUGGGAGGAAGGGCAGUAAGUUAAUACCUUGCUGUUUUGACGUUACCAGCAGAAUAAGCACCGGCUAACUUCGUG